rnacentral:rRNA from 1 species
AGUGAACGCUGGCGGUAGACCUAACACAUGCAAGUCGAACGGCAGCACAGUAAGAGCUUGCUCUUACGGGUGGCGAGUGGCGGACGGGUGAGGAAUACAUCGGAAUCUACUUUUUCGUGGGGGAUAACGUAGGGAAACUUACGCUAAUACCGCAUACGACCUACGGGUGAAAGCAGGGGAUCUUCGGACCUUGCGCGAUUGAAUGAGCCGAUGUCGUAUUAGCUAGUUGGCGGGGUAAAGGCCCACCAAGGCGACGAUCCGUAGCUGGGCUGAGAGGAUGAACAGCCACACUGGAACUGAGACACGGUCCAGACUCCUAAGGGAGGAAGCAGUGGGGAAUAUUGGACAAUGGGCGCAAGCCUGAUCCAGCAAUACCGCGUGGGUGAAGAAGGCCUUCGGGUUGUAAAGCCCUUUUGUUGGGAAAGAAAAGCAGCAGGUUAAUACCCCGCUGUUCUGACGGUACCCAAAGAAUAAGCACCGGCUAACUUCGUG